rnacentral:rRNA from 1 species
AGAGUUUGAUUCUGGCUCAGAACGAACGCUGGCGGCGUGGAUAAGACAUGCAAGUCGAACGAGAGAAUUGCUAGCUUGCUAAUAAUUCUCUAGUGGCGCACGGGUGAGUAACACGUGAGUAACCUGCCCCCGAGAGCGGGAUAGCCCUGGGAAACUGGGAUUAAUACCGCAUAGUAUCGAAAGAUUAAAGCAGCAAUGCGCUUGGGGAUGGGCUCGCGGCCUAUUAGUUAGUUGGUGAGGUAACGGCUCACCAAGGCGAUGACGGGUAGCCGGUCUGAGAGGAUGUCCGGCCACACUGGAACUGAGACACGGUCCAGACACCUACGGGUGGCAGCAGUCGAGAAUCAUUCACAAUGGGGGAAACCCUGAUGGUGCGACGCCGCGUGGGGGAAUGAAGGUCUUCGGAUUGUAAACCCCUGUCAUGUGGGAGCAAAUUAAAAAGAUAGUACCACAAGAGGAAGAGACGGCUAACUCUGUGCCAGCAGCCGCGGUAAUACAGAGGUCUCAAGCGUUGUUCGGAAUCACUGGGCGUAAAGCGUGCGUAGGCUGUUUCGUAAGUCGUGUGUGAAAGGCGCGGGCUCAACCCGCGGACGGCACAUGAUACUGCGAGACUAGAGUAAUGGAGGGGGAACCGGAAUUCUCGGUGUAGCAGUGAAAUGCGUAGAUAUCGAGAGGAACACUCGUGGCGAAGGCGGGUUCCUGGACAUUAACUGACGCUGAGGCACGAAGGCCAGGGGAGCGAAAGGGAUUAGAUACCCCUGUAGUCCUGGCAGUAAACGGUGCACGCUUGGUGUGCGGGGAAUCGACCCCCUGCGUGCCGGAGCUAACGCGUUAAGCGUGCCGCCUGGGGAGUACGGUCGCAAGAUUAAAACUCAAAGGAAUUGACGGGGACCCGCACAAGCGGUGGAGUAUGUGGUUUAAUUCGAUGCAACGCGAAGAACCUUACCUGGGCUUGACAUGUAAUGAACAACAUGUGAAAGCAUGCGACUCUUCGGAGGCGUUACACAGGUGCUGCAUGGCCGUCGUCAGCUCGUGUCGUGAGAUGUUUGGUUAAGUCCAGCAACGAGCGCAACCCCUGUUGCCAGUUACCAGCACGUGAAGGUGGGGACUCUGGCGAGACUGCCCAGAUCAACUGGGAGGAAGGUGGGGACGACGUCAGGUCAGUAUGGCCCUUAUGCCCAGGGCUGCACACGUACUACAAUGCCCAGUACAGAGGGGGCCGAAGCCGCGAGGCGGAGGAAAUCCUAAAAACUGGGCCCAGUUCGGACUGUAGGCUGCAACCCGCCUACACGAAGCCGGAAUCGCUAGUAAUCGCGCAUCAGCCACGGCGCGGUGAAUACGUUCCCGGGUCUUGUACACACCGCCCGUCACAUCAUGGAAGCCGGUCGCACCCGAAGUAUCUGAAGCCAACCGCAAGGAGGCAGGGUCCUAAGGUGAGACUGGUAACUGGGAUGAAGUCGUAACAAGGUAGCCGUAGGGGAACCUGCGG